rfam:Ascochyta rabiei strain ArDII scaffold_287, whole genome shotgun sequence.
GACACGAUGGCCGAGUGGUCUAAGGCGGUAGAUUUAAGCCCGAAUCUGCAGUCUUGCUAGUCAUUUCUGCAGGAGAUGCGCGAGUGCUCAAAUCUCUACUACGGAAACGUGCGUGGGUUCGAACCCCACUCGUGUCA